rnacentral:rRNA from 1 species
UGGGGAAUUUUGCACAAUGGGGGAAACCCUGAUGCAGCGACGCCGCGUGAUUUAGAAGGCCUUCGGGUUGUAAAAAUCUUUUCUAUGGGAAGAAAAUGACAGUACCAUAGGAAUAAGGACCGGCUAAUUACGUGCCAGCAGCCGCGGUAAUACGUAAGGUCCGAGCGUUGUCCGGAAUCAUUGGGCGUAAAGGGUACGUAGGCGGGUAAGCAAGUUAGAAGUGAAAUCCUAUAGCUCAACUAUAGUAAGCUUUUAAAACUGCUCAUCUUAUGGUAUGGAAGGGAAAGUGGAAUUCCUAGUGUAGCGGUGAAAUAGGCAGAUAUUAGGAGGAAUACCGGUGGCGAAGGCGACUUACUGGCCAUAACCUGACGCUGGGGUACGAAAGCGUGGGUAGCAAACAGG